CUCUGCAUUUCGACUGCUAAAGAUAGCGACAGCUAUAUCGUUCUCCUCCAUUAAUUAUAUGCGUGAUACUAUUAUAGUGUUAUGUAGCCCUCAAGAUACGCUACAAGAAUAUGUAAUAAAAAAUAGAGGUUUCCAUUUAAAAAAACAUUAAUGACCUUGACCUUGAUUUUGACAAGGUCACUCAAGGUCAAAUCCACAUUUCCAUCCCCCUUCAAAUCAUGCAACUUUCAUUCGAAAAAUUUUUUAAUAAAAUCAUCGAUUCGC